rnacentral:rRNA from 1 species
GACGAACGCUGGCGGCGUGCUUAACACAUGCAAGUCGAACGGAAAGGCCCUGCUUUUGUGGGGUGCUCGAGUGGCGAACGGGUGAGUAACACGUGAGUAACCUGCCCUUGACUUUGGGAUAACUUCAGGAAACUGGGGCUAAUACCGGAUAGGAGCUCCUGCUGCAUGGUGGGGGUUGGAAAGUUUCGGCGGUUGGGGAUGGACUCGCGGCUUAUCAGCUUGUUGGUGGGGUAGUGGCUUACCGAGGCUUUGACGGGUAGCCGGCCUGAGAGGGUGACCGGCCACAUUGGGACUGAGAUACGGCCCAGACUCCUACGGGAGGCAGCAGUGGGGAAUAUUGCACAAUGAGCGGAAGCCUGAUGCAGCAACGCCGCGUGCGGGAUGACGGCCUUCGGGUUGUAAACCGCUUUCGCCUGUGACGAAGCGUGAGUGACGGUAAUGGGUAAAGAAGCACCGGCUAACUACGUG